rnacentral:rRNA from 1 species
CUAUGGAUUCAGCGGCGGACGGGUGAGUAAUGCCUAGGAAUCUGCCUGGUAGUGGGGGACAACGUUUCGAAAGGAACGCUAAUACCGCAUACGUCCUACGGGAGAAAGCAGGGGACCUUCGGGCCUUGCGCUAUCAGAUGAGCCUAGGUCGGAUUAGCUAGUUGGUGAGGUAAUGGCUCACCAAGGCUACGAUCCGUAACUGGUCUGAGAGGAUGAUCAGUCACACUGGAACUGAGACACGGUCCAGACUCCUACGGGAGGCAGCAGUGGGGAAUAUUGGACAAUGGGCGAAAGCCUGAUCCAGCCAUGCCGCGUGUGUGAAGAAGGUCUUCGGAUUGUAAAGCACUUUAAGUUGGGAGGAAGGGUUGUAGAUUAAUACUCUGCAAUUUUGACGUUACCGACAGAAUAAGCACCGGCUAACUCUGUGCCAGCAGCCGCGGUAAUACAGAGGGUGCAAGCGUUAAUCGGAAUUACUGGGCGUAAAGCGCGCGUAGGUGGUUCGUUAAGUUGGAUGUGAAAUCCCCGGGCUCAACCUGGGAACUGCAUCCAAAACUGGCGAGCUAGAGUAUGGUAGAGGGUGGU